CCUAGAGACCACCUCCAGGUGUGGUUUUAAAGCCAACUCGCAGGGGACUGCUUUCUGCGUGCCGGUCCAAAGUCACUCCCUACCAGUUUGUAAACUGAACAGAAGAACUGCUUCACUUUAAGCAAUGAAGAACUUCAAGUUCGCCGUAUUAACCCAGACGCCGGACCCGUUCCCUGGGACCCUCCCGCUGAACUGAACCCUGCUUCAGAGACUUAAAUCUCCAUGGAUAAUAUGAAAUGUUCACACCUUGAAACUCAACUAUUAAAAAUAAUCAACAGUAGUCAUCUCUAGUUAUUGACAGUAAGGAAUCUUGGAAUUGGAAAAUUUGGGGAGGAUUUGGAAUUUUUAAGUUUGACAACUGUGCCCCCAGAGAAGCAGAACAUCAUCCCUCCAGUUUCUUCAUUUUGCUCUACGCACAGGCAUAGGCUUUUGAAGACAUCAAGAUGACCUCUAAAUACUCCCUAAGCUUGCAUUUUCAAGGUUAACAGAGGGAGGAGCCUUGAUCAAUGAUGUUCUGUCCCCAUCACCUUUCCUCUACUCCUAAACAGUAUCCAAGCUAAACUGUUCUAGUCAUCAAGAAGGCCAUCAUUCUGAAUAGCUACAUUAAAUGUCAAGCUUUGGCAACAAUCACUGCUACAUCUUCUGUUUUCUGUCAUGAUAAGGUAUGGCAGAAACUUACAGCAAUAGUGGGUUAAUGGGGCACUUGGUUGGCUCAAUUGGUUAAGUAUCAGGCUUAGGUUGUGUUGUCAGGGUUCGUGAGAUCAAACCCCAUGAUAGGCUCUCUCUGAGCUGGAAUCACGAAGCUUGUUUGGGAUUCUCUCUCUUCCUCUCUCUACUCCUCCCCUUUGCUCCUCCCCAGCUCAUUCUCUCAUUCCCUCUCUCUCUCUCCCUCCCUCCCUCUCUCUCUCUCAAAAU